UUUCUUGUCAUUCUUUAAAUUGAGCUCCUUUUAUGAAGCUUCCUUUCGCAAUCGAUUCGUUAACGAUCGCAUAUACUUUUUAUUAUCUCUAUCGCGCAUUUUUCUCCUCUUCAUAGAGAAGCGUAUAACAUUAAAACAUUAAAGAUAUUAAGUUCAUUUAUCAUUAAACCAACUGAAAAGUAGAAGUAAUAUGGAAAUAUCAAAGAUAAAUAAUCUUAUUGCUCGUUUAUCUUCGUUUUCUUCGCGAAACAGGAAAUGACAGGCAAAAGAAAUUUAAUCAUGUUUCCAUUCGUAGCGUAUAAUCUUUAUUUUCUUUCAUUUUAUUAAACAGCUCUUCAUUAAUUUGACCGAUCAUUAUCAAUGAUGGAAACGAAAGUAGAACGAAUUCUAUGAUGAUGAAGUUAAAUACUGAAGGAUAAUAUUUCUAAUAUUUUUUCCAUCUCUCUGAGAACGAAUUUUUAUUUAUUCAUCUUUUUUUUUCUCUCACCGCCAAACACUUAAACUAGAAUUAAAACAAUCGGCCAUAUGCUUCGAAUAAAAUAAUUCGAACCGUGUUUCUAAAAACUAGUCCACCUACAAUGCGCGACAUCCUGCACGUUUUAAUAAUAGAUCUUUCGCCGUGAGAAGAUUCUGCAAACGGAUCGUACACGUUUCUGAUGAAUGUUAUCCCGAGCUGGUGUUCUGUAAUAGCGGCAUGAAAGUAUGUAAGUAGUUCAACGAGUGCAGGUGGAAUUAUACGAGGAGAGUUUCGUGCGAUGUAGGUAAGUGCUUGCUUUAUUCGAAGUGCCGUGUAGAAACGGUUAAUGCAAUAACGAUUGGAAUAUUCUUUCGAUAUCCGCGGUAUGCGCGUGUCUUUCGUCGCAACAAUGCUAUAAUUAAAUUCUUACUCCAGAAUUUUAAAUAAUUCGCCGUGCAAGAAUCUUACGUUAACGUAAUUAAAAUUGUUACAAAUUUUGGGAAAAGAAAAUAAAUAAGUCAAAUUUUCAAAUUCAUUGGAAUUAAAUGUUAAUAAUAAUUCACAAAGAUGAAAAUAAUUUUCCUUUUUUUUUUGCAAUUCAACUCGUUGCAUCGAUUACGAUAUUGAUUUAACAUUCGGUUACAAGGUAAACUCGGUCGAUCAAUGGAUAUAAAUAAUCAUUAGAAGAUGUUGUGUCAUUGUUCUUCGAUUAUUCCAUACUAUAAUGGUAUAAUGAUAUAAUGGCAUAUUUAAACGAUUAUGUAAUCGCAUUACAAAAUCGGUUUUGAUUCAUCGACUAUGGAUCUAUUGUCGAGUCAUCCCGUGAAGAUUGCGGACAGCCAUGAAAUCUUCUUUGACCCAUCUUGGCAAAUUAUGACAUAAGCUAUUUUUGUCUAUAAAGACUUUACCGUGAGAUAAUAUUAAAACAUUCACGUGUAAUUCAUAAGAGUUUUGUACACGCUUUGAAUCAUCGUGUUAUACGUAAUAGGCAUUAUCGAGAUUACAAAAGCCUCCGAAAACAAUUGUGCGUUUCCUUGUUAGAAAAUGCAACUUAUGUAUCCGUUGUUAUGUUAAAUAACUGCUUCAUCGUUUUCGUGUUAAGUCACUACUUUAUUAAAUUUAUUGAGUAACUACUAUCGAUUUUUAUAUUGAGUAACUACUUUUUACUCUUCCACGUUAAAUAACUAACUUUGUCAAAUUGUUUCGUCAAGUCGGGAGUAUUCGUAACGUAAUAUUCAUACCAACAUUAAUUAAGUAAGUAAUCAAGUGAUGAUUCUGUGCAAUGAUUGUCACAAUUUUCAGAUGAAGAAUUCUCUGGGAUAAAAAGUACUCCGUUUUCAAUUCACCAAAUUUCUGAUUGGGCAUCGUGGCACAAGUGGAAUCACUAAGCUCGGAGACAUCAACCCUCGUUCAUCGAAGUUCACGGGGGUGGGUGUCAAGUUACGGAGAUUUCAACAGAAGCUCGAACACGAUACCACAGCUUUCCGUUCAUCUCUCUCUUUCUCCUCCGCCGAUUAUAUUCUCUCCACUUUUCUUUCUUCCUCCACCCACUAAAAAUAUUCAUUUUACCCACUUUUCUGGAUCGUUAACAAUAACGAUUAAUCACCCUUUUUCGUUAAUUUCUCCUCCCCUUCUUCCCAAUAUUUUUCGUCUUCCCUUUGUCUUUUGCACAUGCAAUACGUUCCUACGUAUUAUACAAUAUGACUCUCUGUGAGCGCAAACUCGGCGUUAUCGACCACUCGGCGGGACACGGCCACGUUUGUGUACCUUCGUGUCAGUGGUUUCCAAAGUGCACCUCUGCACACCUCUGCACACCUCAAACGGAUUCAACGGCCACGGAACGGAUCUUGAUAAUCCUUUUGGACUUCGUGACACAUUUUUUUUUUUUUUUUCCUCCCUCUAAACCUUUUUCGUGGACCAUUGGAAACAGGCUCGAGAACGAUUACGAAAAGGUGGGGUUCUAUUGUUCGGAUUUAUUAUUCUGGAAGGAUUUGUUUGAUCUUCUUGAAACGGAAUUUUUUUUUGAUCGAAGUAAAUUUCUGGUGGAUUUUAAAAUAAAAAUACGAAGGUAAACGACCAAGUUGUAUGAGGAGAAGUCUAGGAUCAUAUGAUGUUUUAUUUUUGUUGAUAAAAUUAAAUUAAUGAAUAUAAAAAUUCGUCUUAAUUUAUCAUUCUUCAAAUUUAUGUUUAUUCCAAAAACAGAUGAUAGAAAAAAAUGAACAUUUACCUUUCAUCUCAUUAAUUCUCAAAAAUCGUCGAAAACGAGUUUGUAAACCCACGCUUUACCGUACGGGAAAUGUUCGAGUUUCGAACUCGAGGAACGAUGAGGGUUAAUGAUCGAUAGGGUUCGAGUUUGGAUUUCCAUCGAUUUCUGCGAAACCUUUUGUACGACAGGACACGACCCACCGUUUUCACCACGUGGCUAAUGAAGUAUCGCGUUAAACGGGAAACUCGACACCUCAGAGGGAGAGAGAGAGAGACUUUCGAACGAACGUGCGCGCAAAAAGGAUGGGAGACACAGUUUGAUAAACCGGGGUCGAACCAAUCCAGCGUUGGUCCUCUGAAUUAGUUGCCGACAACUUCGAGCACGAGUUUCGAACUUUUUGAGUGAGUCACGGUUAUGUUCGGUUGGUGGUUUAUUUUUUUUUAUAUCUCAAUCUGAAAUCAAUUGUAAUCUAAUGAAAAUCUAAGUUAUCUCAGAUUUGCGUUUUUCUUUUCUUCUUCAAAGAAAUGUUAUUUCAUGCAUGUUAAUUGAACCUGGUUUUGUAGUGUAAGUAAGGUGAUUCUAGAAAUGCGAGAGAAUAUUGCAGCAUUUCUCUGGAUGAAAAUAUUGAAAAUUUAUGCGAGGAAGAAAUUGAAUGUUGUAUAACCAAGAACCAUUUCUUGGAGGCAUUAUUUCUUUCCCUUGCUGGAGAAGAAUAAGAAAAUAUUUGGAUAACAAAAUUCUUGCAGUAGGUAUUAUUCUUUGACGUAGACGCAAUAUAAAAACGUUAAAAACUAAUUGAAAAAUUAUAUUACGGUAUUUUCUUUUUUCCCUCAUUGUUACUCUCUUCUCAGAAUAUCUAUGUAUUCAGUACAAUAUUCUAUACGAUACUCGAGAAACGUACAUUUCUCGAAACAACAAAUAUUAAAAUUUAUAUUUAAAAAGAAAAUGAAUUGUUAACAAUAUUUCGUUUUUUUUUUACUUUUAAAAUUUACUUUUAAAAUAUAUCGAAACAUAAAUGUAAUGUAAUAAAGGAUCGUGUAUUAUUACGCAAAAAGAAACUUUUUAAUAUUUUUUACACUUUCGUGAUCCAUUAUUGUAAAGGAUUAAUGAAAAAUUUAAAUUGUUUCGAAGAAAAUUAAAUAUUUUAUGGAUACUUGUUUAAAAUCGAUUUAUAUUCAAAUAUUACGAUUUCAUUUGAUUUCAAUACAGACUUUACGACAUGCAUUUAACUCGGACAAAAUUGGAUUUUGCAGAGCAAUUGAUAUGCCGUAAUACCGUGCAUUGUAUACUGCACGGUUGCCUAUAUACAGGCGUUUCUACAGGCAAAGUUAAAUUACUUAAAUAAUAAUAAAGCAUCAAUUUUUGCACAUCAACUUUUCCAUUCAUUUAGAAACUUUCCAAAGACUUUCCAAAGAUAUUCCAUAAAUAUUAUAAUGAUGUCUUGCAUACUUUCAGUUGAGGGAUCAAUUAUCGAUUAUUAUGAUCGCAGUACGUUAACGUUCUUCGUUCUUCCAUUACCAUUGAAAUCACCAGUAUCGCGUACGUGACGGUAAUGCUUAUGUUAUGUGAUUCUACGUAGCAAUUGGACCCACGGAUCGAUCGUGGAGACCUCGACGAGGAGACUUCGACAGUAUUCAGGGAUUCCUACUGACCCACCAUGAAAACAGGAUCAGAAAGUUUCUCGUUUCGAUGGCAACUCGCAUCUGCGGAGAUUAACUAAGCAUCCUCUCGUCAAGCCGACGAUCUGACUUCCAUCUCCCUUCGAGGAAGCCAUAUGAUUUUUCUCUGUUGUUGGUGAAAUUUAAAUCCAACGAAUCCAUUGAUAUCUUUCUGUAUAUUUUUUAAAUAUACAAGAUAAUAAUAAAUUUUUUCCAAUAAA